UUUCGAUGUGGAACGCAAAUCUAGUACUGUACCUAUUGUGCAUGCGCCGUUAACGGAGCUCGGAGCACAGCGAAAAACUUGUCUGCUAGUGUCUAUCUACCAACGGCAACUACCGUACUUAUACCAGCUAUUAUUCUGCCUUGGAUCCGCCCUCCAGAUCCAAGCUAUUCUUCCUCGUAUUUUCCAGAGGAGUUUGGUGACAAACAAUUAUAUUAGCGUACAAUCCACUGUUAUAAUAAUAAACUAUCCUGAGAAGCUAUAGAAGUGGGAUCUCGACAAGACUGAAGAGGAGACAAUUAAGUUCGACGAUGGCUGGACUAACAUCAUUCCUUCGAUCUUUGAGACAGGUGUCCCAGAAAACUUUCACCUGCCCCAAACCUACAAGCAUUCCAGCAAGCUCAUUCCAAUCCUCAAUCACCAGACAACUUCAUGAUGACAACACGGGAUCGAAGAUGCCAGAUAACAAGUUCUACGAGCUGAGAACCUAUAAAGUCAAACCGUCAAGCUUCCUGGCAUUCAUGAAAUUAACCAAUGAAAACAUGGCUCCGAGACUGGCUCACAAUAAGUUGAUUGGCUACUGGGCCACAGAUAUUGGAGGUCUUAAUGAAGUCUUCCAUAUCUGGGAAUAUGAUUGUUUUGCUCAUCGGACUGCUGUACGUGCAGCAUUGGCCAAGGACAAGGUCUGGCACGCCUCCUAUUUCUCUGAGGCUGUCCAGAUGAUAGAUGCACAGGAAAAUGCUUCUGGAAGGUUGUUACCAUGGAAACCCCUCCAGGACCAACCAUUAAAGGAAGGAGGAAUGUACGAGUUAAGAUCUUACGUCAUGAAACCAGGGGGUUAGACCCCUUGAAGAAACGCAUCAUGUUGAGAGAUGAGUUCUACUCUUCUCAAGGAUGCGGCAAGCUGAUGGGAGUUUGGAUGGGAGACCUUGGACAUGCCAAUAUGUUCUAUGCUUUGUGGAACUAUGUAAGUGGUGACAAAAGAUUGGAAACAAGAGCUGCUUUCCUGGAAUCGGAUGCCUGCAAAAUUCUAUCUCCAGAUGAUUUCCCGAUGACAGAGUUUCGUUCAAAGCUUAUGACACCAAACCCAUUCUCACCACUUCAAUAGAUGCCCCUACCAUACAGUGGUGAAUACAAGGUUCUUGGGCAGAGGGAGGGGGGCAAAAUUUAAAAAAAACUGUGACAACCGAAAAAAGGCAACAAAAGAUGGGGUCAUCCAUGCUUCUUCUUUUCGUCAUCCUUUCUGGCCCCCUUUUGGGGCCCACAAGGGGCAUGUGCCCCCCCUGCCUUUUCCCUCAUAGAAGAAUAAAGUACCUGAACCUUUGUUGUGAUCACUGCCUUCAGACUUGGCCUGAGAGGAGGCCUCGUAUUCGACUUGACGUUUUUUUAAAAGGUGUUUUACUAGGUAUCGUGGAUAGUAUUUAGAAAAUUUGAAGUUGAUUUAGACUUUGACUGCAAAUAUUGAUGUAGCAGAAAAUAUGCAGAAAACAUGACUAAAGCAUUAUUGUUGUGAAGAUAUCGCAAACUGAAUCAUUUAAGUUGAAUACCUCAAUGCCUACCUAUAGCUUCACCAGGUAAUCUGGAUGUGAUAUGUAACUUAUACCCAUGUUUUUGAACAUCAUGCAUUCUGAAGACAUUAGUUUUGUACUUUAAAAACCUUGUAUUGUAACAUGGACGUUUUUUUUUUAAAUAGAAAAUUGCAUAUUUUGAACAAUAUACUUGCAUGGUUUUGCUUUGUAAAUGGGUAAUCAACGGUUUUGAUUUGUAACUGGGUAAUCAAACACAAUGUAAUGGACCAAGUGUAAAGGACCAAAUGUUUGCAAAGUUGUGCAAAUCACACAACAUCAUAACUUCCAUAAAGAUUGGACACAUAUAGUCAUGUUUAAUUUCAAUCAAAUUUUAGAUUGAUUGGGAGCAACUACUUCUGAGGUUGAUUUGUUUUCUAGCUUUAAAUGAUAUAUAAAUGUCAAGUGUGUAGAUGUUAAACGGGUACCGGGAGGAAGGAAUGAUCAUGUGAGCGCUGAAAUUGGUACCCUAGUUAGCAAGAGCCAGGGUAAUAUUGGAGUGCUAUAGAACUAUCUAAUUUUGGCUAUUGUUAUUAUUUUAACAAAUAUAAACAUGAAAACAAAAGACUUGUCAACAUUUCAAAGGAAAGAAUAGCAAUUUGGAUAGUCAUAGAUACAUGUAGAACUGAAGUGUGUGCCUAUAUAUGAAGUCAGUACUAUAUUGCCUUGGUUAUUCCUCCGAACAUUCAGUUUCUAAUUAUGAAAAUAAUAGUACUUCAAAGAAUUCUUUAUGAAAACUGUUUUUAUAUUAAUGAAUUUGAAAUUGUGUCUACAUACAUACCAUGUGCAUCAAUCAUGUUUAAUUGAUUAAUAAGGGGAUGUAAACAAAAGUCUUAUUUUUACUCUGAUAAAAAAUAUAUUUUUUAAAUUAUUAAUCUAUGCGUAUCUUACUUGUCUUAAAACUGUUUUUGUCUUCCAUAAUAAAAUGUAGUUUAACUCAACUACCAGCUAGCUAUGA